UACGUAGGGGGCAAGCGUUGUCCGGAAUCAUUGGGCGUAAAGAGCGCGUAGGCGGUCCGGUAAGUCCGCUCUGAAAGUCCGGGGCUCAACCCCGGGAGGCGGGCGGAUACUGCCGGGCUAGAGUCCGGAAGAGGAGAGUGGAAUUCCGUGGUGUAGCGGUGAAAUGCGCAGAGUAUCAAGGAAGAACACCCGUGGCGAAGGCGGCUCUCUGGGACGGUACUGACGCUGAGACGCGAAGC
rnacentral:rRNA from 1 species